GCUUGAAGACGAGCUGAG
rnacentral:sRNA from 1 species